rnacentral:rRNA from 1 species
AUUGAACGCUGGCGGCAUGCCUUACACAUGCAAGUCGAACGGUAACGCGGGGCAACCUGGCGACGAGUGGCGAACGGGUGAGGAAUACAUCGGAACGUACCCAGUAAUGGGGGAUAGCCCGGCGAAAGCCGGAUUAAUACCGCAUACGACCUAAGGGUGCAAGAGGGGGAUCGCAAGACCUCUCGCUAUUGGAGCGGCCGAUGGCGGAUUAGGUAGUUGGUGGGGUAAAGGCCUACCAAGCCGACGAUCUGUAGCUGGUCUGAGAGGACGACCAGCCACACUGGGACUGAGACACGGCCCAGACUCCUACGGGAGGCAGCAGUGGGGAAUUUUGGACAAUGGACGCAAGUCUGAUCCAGCAAUGCCGCGUGCGGGAAGAAGGCCUUCGGGUUGUAAACCGCUUUUGUCAGGGAAGAAAUCUUCUGGGUUAAUACCUCGGGAGGAUGACGGUACCUGAAGAAUAAGCACCGGCUAACUACGUGCCAGCCGCCGCGGUAACAC